UUUGUUUUUAGCAGCCUGGCUCUCCUGUUCUCCGUGGAAGGGGGAAUUUAUUUCAUUACAGGGAGUUCUGGAGGGUGUGGGAGGCCAAGCUGGAGUGGGCUUUAAGGCUCUUUCCAGCUGUUCAAAGGCAGGAACUUGGGGCCUCUUUGGAAUCUGUAUCUGAGCUAAACAAGAUGGCGCACACAGAAGAUCGACGCAAGGCUCCAUCCCAUAAACCGCGAGAUCAUGACCUAAGCCGAAAUCAAGAGUUGGAAGCUUAACCGACUGAGCCACCCAGGUGCCCCGGGAAGGGCAUUUUAAAGCCUUCAGUAGAGCGAGAAAGUGGGACCGGAUGAACUCUGAGGACCACGCGAGACCCAGGAUGACCACAAAGGUCUGUAAUGAGGCGGCCCCGAAAGCAAGGUCUCCCGGCUCCCCUUGUUGUACCGCAGGCAAAAGCGGAAAUUGGAAGGCAAGCCCUGUGAUGGCGAGGACUUGAAAAUUGCUUCUAAUUUCCAAGUGUGUGGCAGAGAGAGAGACAGCUGUGCAACGCCUCAUUGAGUGGAUGUAUGAUAACGUCAUAAUUUACUUAGCCAGGCCCUAUUGAUGAACAUUUGGCCGUUUCCCAUCUUUUUCUGCUGUAACAAAUUAUGCUGCGGUGAAUAACCAUGUCAGUACAAUGUUUGCAAGUCCGUGUGUAGGGUAAGUUCCCAGAAGUGAGAUUACUGGUGAGGGGGUACAUGCAUUUGUAACUCUGAUCGAUGUUGCCACAUUGCCCUUCAAGGGGGCUUUUCCAUAAGCGAUGUGUGAGGGACCUUAUUUCUCCACGGGCUCCCAAUAGAGCGGAGAGUUAAACUCUUGGCUUUUGGCCAACUUGCUAGAUAAACGGUAUUAUCUCAAAGAAGUUUUCCCUCACAUUUUUCUUACUAUGAAUCAGGUUGAGCAUCUUUUCAUAUAUUGAAGGGCCAUUUCUGUUUCCUUUUCUAUGCACUGUCUGCUCAUUCCCAUUUGUGUUCUUGUCUUUCCUUGGCAGUAUGUAAGAUUUUGCACAUUUUAGAGAGAUUAGCCCUCUCUCUGUGAUAUGGGUUAUAAAUAUUUUCUCCCAGAUUUUUUUUGCUUAUUGCUUUUUCCAUGCAGAAGUUUUAAUUUGUGUUAGUCAAACUGAUCUGUCUUUUCUUUUAUGACUUCUGGAAUUUUGAGUCUUGGUUAGAGAUGUCUACCCCUGGCUUAGACAUUUCUUUUUUCUUUGAGUUUAGGAUUUCAUAUUUUUUCACUUUAAAAUCUUUGAUCAGUUUGGAGUUUGUCAGUUGUAUAUGGUAUGGAGCAUGGGACCGACUUUAUUUUUUUCCAGAUGGCCACCCAAUUGGCCCAUACCGUUUAUUGAUUCAUCCCUAUUUCCCUCCCUGAUCUGAGAUAUCACAUUUAUCAAAUACUCAAUUCCACAUGUAGCUGGGUCUCUUUCUCACAUUUUUCUUCUGUUUGAUUGGGAGAAUUGUCUGGGCAUGUGCUGUGACACACUGAUUUAGUUACUGGGGAUAUAGAGCAUAUUCUUCUUCAUUAGAUAUUUUUCAGAGUUUCCAUGGAUAUUUUAGUUUGUUUAUGUCUCUUUUUGAACUUUAGAAUCUGAUUUUCUACUUCUGUAUCUUCCACCCCAAAUUCUGUUGGUAUUUUAUAAACCGAUGGUUAGGAGUAUGGGUUCUGGGAUGAGAUCACUUGAGUUCAAAUCCCAGUUACCAUUUACUCCAUGAG